UCCCUGAUGGUCUAGUGGCUAGGAUUCGGGCCCUCUCACCGCUGCGGCCGGGUUCGAUUCCCGGUCAGGGAA
rnacentral:tRNA from 1 species